GACGAACGCUGGCGGCGUGCUUAACACAUGCAAGUCGAGCGGUAAGGCCCUUUCGGGGGUACACGAGCGGCGAACGGGUGAGUAACACGUGGGUGACCUGCCCUCAGCUCUGGGAUAAGCCUGGGAAACUGGGUCUAAUACCGGAUAUGACUCCAUGACGCAUGUCGUGGGGUGGAAAGCCUUGUGCGGCUGGGGAUGGGCCCGCGGCCUAUCAGCUUGUUGGUGGGGNGAUGGCCUACCAAGGCGACGACGGGUAGCCGGCCUGAGAGGGCGACCGGCCACACUGGGACUGAGACACGGCCCAGACUCCUACGGGAGGCAGCAGUGGGGAAUCUUGCGCAAUGGGCGAAAGCCUGACGCAGCGACGCCGCGUGAGGGAUGACGGCCUGGU
rnacentral:rRNA from 1 species